AGCGAACGCUGGCGGCAGGCCUAACACAUGCAAGUCGAACGAACUCUACGGAGUUAGUGGCGGACGGGUGAGUAACACGUGGGAACGUGCCUUUUGGUUCGGAAUAACUCAGGGAAACUUGUGCUAAUACCGAAUGUGCCCUUCGGGGGAAAGAUUUAUCGCCAUUAGAGCGGCCCGCGUCUGAUUAGCUAGUUGGUGAGGUAACGGCUCACCAAGGCGACGAUCAGUAGCUGGUCUGAGAGGAUGACCAGCCACACUGGGACUGAGACACGGCCCAGACUCCUACGGGAGGCAGCAGUGGGGAAUCUUGCGCAAUGGGCGAAAGCCUGACGCAGCCAUGCCGCGUGAAUGAUGAAGGUCUUAGGAUUGUAAAAUUCUUUCACCGGGGACGAUAAUGACGGUACCCGGAGAAGAAGCCCCGGCUAACUUCGUG
rnacentral:rRNA from 1 species